CUGGGCAAACCUGGAAGAUAAUCCUUAUAUCAAUGCAUUACAGAAUGCUUUAGUAAGGGGGACACCAACAUCCAUAUAAAGCUCUCUGGUGGCUGUACUUUGCCAGCUGGAGAUGUCAGUGAAGGAUAUCGCCAAGGAAUAGAGUACUCUCAUCUCAAAUGUAAUGAAUGAAGAGGUACAGAAGUGGAAGAAGCAUAGCAAUCCUUAGGCUUCAGUAACAAGAGACAUAUUUUUGACCAUCUUGAGCUGUGAGGCAUCUAUAAAAAAGAAGCUGAAGCACAUGAAAUUCUCAUUGAAUCUGGAAGGCAUGCAAGAGAGGAUUUUAUACCUGUUUGACUUGAUUGAGAACCAGUUCUAGGACCUCAAGUUUGUUUAAACAUUCAGGAAGAAGCAAGCUUAACGGAACUAAAUCAUACUAAAUAGACUCUCAAAGUAGUGUAUAAACCAGAAUGCAAUUUAUUGAAAAAGAACUCCUAUCAAUGCAUUGUCUCCCCUAGAGGUCAUAAAACCAUCAUAUGAGAGGAGCUUUCCCUAUGCUGAAGGAAAGGAGUGCCCUUACUCCAAGGACAAAGAGACAAGAAGAAGAAUCCA